rnacentral:rRNA from 1 species
UACUUAGGGGGCAAGCGUUGUCCGGAAUCAUUGGGCGUAAAGCGCGCGUAGGCGGCCCGGUAAGUCCGCUGUAAAAGUCCAGGGCUCAACCCUGGAAAGCCGGUGGAUACUGUCGGGCUAGAGUCCGGAAGAGGCGAGUGGAAUUCCUGGUGUAGCGGUGGAAUGCGUAGAGAUCCGGAAGAACACCCGUGGCUAAGGCGGCUCUCUAGUACGUGACUGACGCUGAGGUGCGAAAGCGUGGAGAGCAAACAGG